rnacentral:rRNA from 1 species
GACGGAGGGUGCAAGCGUUGUUCGGAUUGACUGGGCGUAAAGGGCGUGUAGGCGGUCGGCCAAGUCUGAUGGGAAAGCCCGAGGCUCAGCCUCGGAAGUGCGUCGGAAACUAGUCGGCUGGAGCGCGAUAGAGGAGGGUGGAAUUCCUGGUGUAGCGGUGAAAUGCGUAGAUAUCAGGAGGAACACCGGCGGCGAAGGCGGCCCUCUGGAUCGUUGCUGACGCUGAUACGCGAAAGCGUGGGGAGCAAACAGG